rnacentral:lncRNA from 1 species
AAAAUUCAAAUAAUAAAAAAAAUAAUAAUAAAUUCCUUCCACCUUAAGCGUUUCACGUCGGGUUCACCAAAUAUGUCGUAAUGUGUGAAGUCUUGCUUGAGAAUGCUCCGAGCACCUGGCUGUAGAAAGAAGAAUAGAAAUUGCGAUAAAAAAAAUCCUAAAUAGAAUACUAACAAUGCUCUAAUUAGACAAUAAUAAUGGUAAAUAAAUGUAAUCUAAUUCAAAACAACUCAAAGAAAUUUCAAACAAACAAUAAAAUUUUUAAAGAAAUAUUAGAAUGAUCACAAAUUUUACUCAAAUAUAUGUCAAUUCAACCUUAAUUUAAUUCUAGUUAAAACCCUAUUGAAUUUCACUCAACUUUAGACCAAACCUAAUUAAAUCUUAAACCCUAAUAAUUCCUAAAUCCUAAGUCAAAUCCUAAAAAAAAUUUAAAUUAAACCCUAUUCCAAACCCUAGAUCCUAAACUAAAUCCUAAAUUAAACCCUAAAUCAAACCCUAAUCCAACCCUAAACUCUAAUUCAAAUCCUAAACCCUAAACCCUAAACCAAAUCUUAAAUCAAACCCUAACCAAACCCUAAUCCAAACCCUAAUCCAAACCCUAA